UACGGGGGGGGGCAAGCGUUGUUCGGAAUUACUGGGCGUAAAGGGCUCGUAGGCGGCCAACUAAGUCGGACGUGAAAUCCCUCGGCUCAACCGAGGAACUGCGUCCGAUACUGGUGGGCUUGAAUCCGGGAGAGGGAUGUGGAAUUCCAGGUGUAGCGGUGAAAUGCGUAGAUAUCUGGAGGAACACCGGUGGCGAAGGCGGCAUCCUGGACCGGUAUUGACGCUGAUGCGCGAAAGCCAGGGGAGCAAACGGG
rnacentral:rRNA from 1 species